rnacentral:rRNA from 1 species
CCUACGGGUGGCUGCAGUAAGGAAUAUUGGUCAAUGGACGAAAGUCUGAACCAGCCAUCCCGCGUGCAGGAUGAAAGCCCUAUGGGUUGUAAACUGCUUUUAGCAGAGAAGAAAAGCUUCCAUUUAUGGGGGUCUGACGGUAUCUGCAGAAUAAGCACCGGCUACCUCCGUGCCAGCAGCCGCGGUAAUACGGAGGGUGCGAGCGUUAUCGGGAAUUACGGGGGCGAAGGGGGAGUAUUGCGGAAGAGGAGAAAUCUUGGCGCUUAACGAUAGAAUUGCCAAUGAUACUGGGACUCUUGAAUUGGGUUGAGGUUAGCGGAAUGUGACAUGUAGCGGUGAAAUGCAUAGAUAUGUCAUGGAACACCAAUUGCGAAGGCAGCUAACUGGGCCUUGAUUGACGCUGAGGCACGAAAGCGUGGGUAGCGAACAGGAUUAGAUACCCGAGUAGUC